rnacentral:rRNA from 1 species
AACGAACGCUAUCGGUAUGCUUAACACAUGCAAGUCGGACGGACUAAUUAGGGCUUGCUCCAAUUAGUUAGUGGCAGACGGGUGAGUAACACGUGGGAAUCUGCCCAUCAGUACGGAAUAACUUUUAGAAAUAAAAGCUAAUACCGUAUAUUCUCUACAGAGGAAAGAUUUAUUGCUGAUGGAUGAGCCCGCGUCAGAUUAGGUAGUUGGUGAGGUAACGGCUCACCAAGCCGACGAUCUGUAGCUGGUCUGAGAGGAUGAUCAGCCACACUGGGACUGAGACACGGCCCAGACUCCUACGGGAGGCAGCAGUGGGGAAUAUUGGACAAGGGGCGAAAGCCUGAUCCAGCAAUACCGAGUGAGUGAUAAAGGCCCUAGGGUUGUAAAGCUCUUUUAGCAAGGAAGAUAAUGACGGUACUGGCAGAAAAAGCCCCGGCUAACUCCGUG